rnacentral:rRNA from 1 species
GACGAACGCUGGCGGCGUGCUUAACACAUGCAAGUCGAGCGGUAAGGCCUUUCGGGGUACACGAGCGGCGAGCGGGUGAGUAACACGUGGGUGAUCUGCCCUGCACUUCGGGAUAAGCCUGGGAAACUGGGUCUAAUACCGGAUAUGACCUCCUAUCGCAUGGUGGGUGGUGGAAAGAUUUAUCGGUGCAGGAUGGGCCCGCGGCCUAUCAGCUUGUUGGUGGGGUAAUGGCCUACCAAGGCGACGACGGGUAGCCGACCUGAGAGGGUGACCGGCCACACUGGGACUGAGACACGGCCCAGACUCCUACGGGAGGCAGCAGUGGGGAAUAUUGCACAAUGGGCGAAAGCCUGAUGCAGCGACGCCGCGUGAGGGAUGACGGCCUUCGGGUUGUAAACCUCUUUCAGCAGGGACGAAGCGCAAGUGACGGUACCUGCAGAAGAAGCACCGGCUAACUACGUG